GGCGGACGGGUUAGUAACGCGUGGGAAUAUACCCGGUACUAAGGAAUAGCCUCUGGAAACGGAGAGUAAUACCUUAUACGCCCUUCGGGGGAAAGAUUUAUCGGUAUCGGAUUAGUCCGCGUUAGAUUAGUUAGUUGGUGGGGUAACGGCCUACCAAGACGACGAUCUAUAGCUGGUUUGAGAGGAUGAUCAGCAACACUGGGACUGAGACACGGCCCAGACUCCUACGGGAGGCAGCAGUGGGGAAUCUUAGACAAUGGGCGCAAGCCUGAUCUAGCCAUGCCGCGUGAGUGAUGAAGGCCUUAGGGUCGUAAAGCUCUUUCGCCAGGGAUGAUAAUGACAGUACCUGGUAAAGAAACCCCGGCUAACUCCGUGCCAGCAGCCGCGGUAAUACGGAGGGGGUUAGCGUUGUUCGGAAUUACUGGGCGUAAAGCGCGCGUAGGCGGAUUAGUCAGUUAGAGGUGAAAUCCCGGGGCUCAACCCCGGAACUGCCUUUAAUACUGCUAGUCUCGAGUUCGAGAGAGGUGAGUGGAAUUCCGAGUGUAGAGGUGAAAUUCGUAGAUAUUCGGAGGAACACCAGUGGCGAAGGCGGCUCACUGGCUCGAUACUGACGCUGAGGUGCGAAAGUGUGGGGAGCAAACAGGAUUAGAUACCCUGGUAGUCCACACCGUAAACGAUGAAUGCCAGUCGUCGGGUAGUAUACUAUUCGGUGACACACCUAACGGAUUAAGCAUUCC
rnacentral:rRNA from 1 species